GGUGUGACAUUUACAUAGCCCAGGGAAGGCUGGCCACCCUACCCUAAUCUUAUUAUGUAACUGAACUUUCCCCUUGGCCAGGGCCAUCUUGUCUGCUCCUUACUGUACAUGUGGCUGGCAGAGAAGGGAAGGUGGAGCCGCUAUUUUGAACAUGAUUGGCACAACUGCCAGCAUCUAUAUCUGCAGCUUGAUUUUACAGGCUGCUCUUUGUUAGAAAGGAACAUGAUUUGGGGCUACUUUUCAUUAAAAGGAAAACUGUACCGAAGACUUCCAUACCCUCACUAUCUGUGGAAUCCCUGGAAAGAAAUGAAGCUUCACACUCAGAAUAUCACAUUUAGUGAUUUCAGGAGACCAGCAGAAUAGGAAUUAAGCUGGAACUCCUAUACAGUUUAUUUUCUAGGUUUGGGACCUCUGCGUACCUCCUGUGGCUUUAUGGUACCUGGUAUUGUUUCCCCAGACCAUGAGUCUCCAGUGUUGGAGUGCCCACUUCAGAAGUCUGUGUGUUUUGCUUCAUCCUGAGGUAAACACUGCUUAGUAUGUGCAUCCUGGUGGUGGUUGUGAUGGUGGGGACUAGCUCAGCCAUUCUCCCUGUGUGGCUACUGACAGGUAAAAGGAAAUCAGUGUAAGUAACUAGAUUGGGGAGUUAAUGAUGAUAUCCACUUGGACAUACUGUGUGGAGCCUGUUGGGAAUCCAGGUGACAAAUCCAGCCAGAAUAUAAAAA
rnacentral:lncRNA from 1 species